rnacentral:rRNA from 1 species
CUACGGAGGGUGCAAGCGUUACUCGGAAUCACUGGGCGUAAAGCGCGCGCAGGCGGUCUUUUAAGUUGGAUGUGAAAGCCUACGGCUCAACCGUAGAACUGCAUCCAAAACUAUUAGACUAGAGUGUGGGAGAGGAAGAUGGAAUUAGUUGUGUAGGGGUAAAAUCCGUAGAGAUAACUAGGAAUACCAAAAGCGAAGGCAAUCUUCUGGAACACUACUGACGCUGAGGCGCGAAAGCGUGGGGAGCAAACAGAAUUAGAAACCCUAGUAGUCC